ensembl:lncRNA
CGCUGUGUCGCCUCAGGGCUGCUGCUCCCGGCUCAUCCCGGGACGGCGCUCAGCCCUGUGGGCAGAGACGGAGCCGUCGGUGCCGCUUCCAGGAGAACGGCCGCCUCUUCCCAGCAGAGCAGAAGAUCUGUAUCAAGAAGGAGUCUCGACAUCAAGCUGCGAGGGAUCUCUGUGCAGCUGUGACCUCGAGAGCCAUCCCUGCUUGAGGGCAGAUCCUGUCGUGCAGCGCGCUGCUGUGCAGGAGAGCUCGAGGGGUGCUUGGGCUGCUCCCUGUUUUGGGG